AAACUUUCAACAAUGGAUCUCUUGGCUCUCGCAUCGAUGAAGAACGCAGCGAAAUGCGAUAAGUAAUAUGAAUUGCAGAAUUUCGUGAAUCAUCAAAUCUUUGAACGCAAAUUGCACUUCUUGGUAUUCCGAGGAGUACACAUGCUUGAGGGUCAGUU
rnacentral:rRNA from 1 species